rnacentral:rRNA from 1 species
AUGGAGACGACGACCUCCUCCUCGUCGGGCUCUGGCUCCCUGUCCUCCGGAUCGCCGACGCUCUGCCCCGUCAACCCGGAGCAACAGGAGAUGCCGCUCGGGCGCCGCAGCCGCAGCGGCGCCCUCGUCUUCAACGAGGGCGGCCGCCCCUCUCCUUCUUCUUCCCGCCUCGUUAGGCCGAAGACCGAGCCAGGGUUGCUCCCUGUGAAGAAGGAGCAUGCGGACAUGGCCACCGCCGACGAGACCGCCAUCAAAUGGGCGAGGGUGGACUACGUCCGCAAGCAGAUGGAGCGCCAGCCACUACUAGAAAAAAGGCUGUUAGUGGCGCACCUGUUUUUGCUAUUAAUGGCGCACUAUAGGUGCGUCACUAUUAACACGCCACUAGUAACAAAUAGUAAUGGCACACCUCUGGUGCGCCAUUAG